AGCCAAUAGUCAAGAAACAAAACUGGAGUGUCAGGAUAAAAACAUUCGACAAGCUACCAAAUCAAGGCUCGUAUGAAAACUGAAGUAUAAAUGUCACUCUCGCCAAGCUAUCGUUAACAAUCAAAUGUGUGCGAAGGAAACUCCGACAGAACUUAAAUUACAUUAACGCUAGCUAGCCAGCAAGCAACUAGCUAGCCAGCAAGUUAAAAAAAGUUAUCCAUAUGGCUAAUUAACAUAUAACAAUAGAAUGACCUACCGGUCUGUACUCCACGUCAGUGGAAAUGGUGUGUUUGAUCUGUCUUUCUGAAAUAAAUUGUUAAAAGAGAUUACUGACACGGAUUAUCAACUCGACGACCGCACUGCGUAAAGCAUGAGGUCAGAUACAGCGGGAGAAACUCAAGAGUACGGAACCAAAGAGGGGAAAUCUUUGAAGAGCAAUGUGAGAGCUCAAAAAGUGUACAUUAUAUUGUCCUGCAUGACAUGAAGUUGGCUAUGAAACACUAAAGAACAAAACAGCCAUAAAGAUAAUGUUGCUGUAUGAAGAGUUCCCGGUCUGUGUAAUGUCACCAUCAACUGAACAUACAAAACCCUCUGCCAGUCAAACGUGGACUGCCAUCUGGAAAGAUGCCUUCCAAGUUACCAUCCUCAGUGAGCUGUCUGCAAUUCUAGCAGACAUGCUCUCUCUGGCUUUACUCAGGAGCUAAUGAAUCUUGAACAGCUUCCUUUUCUCACCUCCACAGUCUUAAUCUUUUAUCCUGUUCAAGAGUUAUACAUUUGUCUAUUGACAUAGUGUUCUAAUUUUACUCAAUGUAUGGUAAUUGAUUCAUCAUACUAAAUCUAUUAGAAUGA